rnacentral:lncRNA from 10 species
GAGGCAUUAGUGAAUAUGAAAGUGCUUUGUAAAGACUAAGGGUGUCUCACAGUGUGCCCAGGCGGGAGGAUUCAGAGGGGGCAUUUCUAAACUCUAAACUCCUGUGGGCUCCUAGCCCAUCCUUCUGAAUGGGGACAGAAUACUUCCAUUUCCAGGUUACUUGCUUCUCCAAAAGGGAGACAGGGAAGUAUCCUUCUCUUUUUGCAAAUGAGGGCACAGCACUGCCUCUCGUGGUUGAGCCAGUCAUUAUUCAGUAGGAACAGCAGUGAGAUUCUCCAGCCUUCUAUUUUAUUCCUGGGGUCACAGAGUAAAAUGCAGCGUGAUCAUUUGGAGCAUUCUUAUGCUUUGUGACAAGAACAAAGCCAGUGGAAACAGCCAUGUGUCCAAACCUAUUACAUCCCCAGGUCCCCAGAAUCCCAGCCCAGGACUCACUCCCUCAGCCUUCCUGGAUUGUCCUGGGUGGAACAAGAUCAGCUCAUUUAGCACAUAGUCUUCCAGAACACAAGGCAGUGUCCCACCAAGGUUGGAUGGGACCAGCUUCUCUAUCCACAGUAGCUGUGCACACAGAGACAGAAAUGAAGCCGUACUGCCGGGUGCACCGUGGCCAGAGAUCCUCCUUCCUGGUAUAUACUCCCGGAGCCAUUGCUUCUUUCAUUUCAGUGCCCAUUUCUGAGGCACCUUCACAUUUCAAACGUCCUGAGAAUAUGUUUAAUUAGAACUUGGCCAUACAGCCUUUUAAAACAAAACAGAAGGGACCAGCUAAUUAUAUCACUCAGCAUUCUGUGGCAAACAUAUAUUUUUUAAUAAAACACUUUCCUAACCAGAGUAAUCCCUGGAGAUGCAAAUCCUCAUUUAUAAGAAGUUUCCCAAAGGGAGUUAAAGAGAAGAUGCCUUAUAAAGAAAAGAGACAAAGAGAGUGGGGAAGUGUUUUCAAAGAGCUUUUAAAAGAUACACUCAUUCUGAGGUUGAAUUACAGAUAUUUUAAGGGUACCAAAUAUCAUUGCCACAAAUGCCCAUAUUUCUCUUUCUGGUGUCUUUCAUAAGUGCAAUAUUUAAAUAAACAAGGGAUUUUCCCAAAAUGCACCUCAUCUCCUACUCUUUGUCAUUUCCUUGUCUUGCUCUGUAAAUAACCGUGUGUCUCACAGCAGAGCUUACACAGAAUGGAUGUGGGGCAGUCUGUGGUCCUGGGGAGGGCCUUCCCUGUAAUCUCUGCAGCCCAGGACAGGGAGAGGGAAGAUUUAGAUCCUGCUGCGGCAUGUCUUCAGGAGUGGAGGUAGGGGGUGUUCCCUUGGCAAAGGACUCCAUGAGCAGAUGCAGGCCAUGGGCGACGCUCCUGCAGAAGCU